rnacentral:rRNA from 1 species
UACGUAGGGUGCAAGCGUUAUCCGGAAUUAUUGGGCGUAAAGAGCUCGUAGGCGGUGUGUCGCGUCGGCCGUGAAAACCUGGGGCUCAACUCUGGGCGUGCGGUCGAUACGGGCAUCACUUGAGUUCGGCAGGGGAGACUGGAAUUCCUGGUGUAGCGGUGGAAUGCGCAGAUAUCGAGAGGAACACCUGCGGCGAAGGCGGGUUGCUGGGCUGACACUGACGCUGAAGCGCGAAAGCUAGGGGAGCGAACAGGG